rnacentral:lncRNA from 1 species
CUCCACUCCUGAUCCACAAUGUGAUCCACCGGCAAGGAGGGAUGCCAAUAAGGCGUCUGAUAAGAUAAGUCUUAUAAAAUAUAUAGGUUUAUGAUAAUUAAAACUGAGCUAACAGAUGAGAAUCCUAGUCAUUGGCCAAGCUGCAUUGAACCUAAUACAAGUUUCUGUGUAUUCAUUUGGGCCAAACUCAGGCAGGUGGCUGGCAUAAAACGCACAUGUGACAGUGGGACUCCGGUGGCUUUUGGUGGAAAGAUUUAUCUUAACAAUGCUUUAUGGGCAUGAUGCAAGAUGCUCCCCUCCAGUCCGGGCUCCAAAGGAGCACCAACCAGAAUGACUUACUUUCUCAUUCUUAAACUCUUCAUUUGGAAUAAAUAACAGUGUUAACCAUGUGGAUGCUUGACUGUGGUUUAAGACCAUGAGUAAUUUUCUAAGAACAAAAUCUCAGUGAGCUCACCAACAGUAAACCCGCCAGCUUCCAUACAGCAGCUUCCUUGGCUCAGGCUCUGAAAUAACUGUAGUAUUUUAGAGUUCCAGCCUUUGUCAGAACGCAAGGACAAGACUUGAAUAAAAUCAUGUUUUCUGUGGAUCUAAACUGAAAUCACAGCUUAUUGAACAGAACAUUUCGAUUUUCAGAGUUGGGAAACUGACACUCAGAGAGAAUGCUGUGCUCAAGAGAGUUAAAGGGAAUCAGUCAGCAGCAGCAUUUCCUUAUUGUUCCACAAAAGCUCAGAGAUGUUUACACAGCCAUGAAAGUCUUCACAGCUCACAGAGGUGAAUUGAGAGCAUCAAAUGCAUGAGCUUUGGUAAGUUCUUGAAAUGGUUCACGUCAUGGACUGUUCGUGUUCUCCGUGCUACCAGAAGAGUCUUAAAUGACCUCAGAUUUCAUCCAGCUGGGAGCUACCUCCAGUUACUACCAGGACUACCAGAGAAACUCAUGCCUUCAUUUCUGUUCUUCCAGAACCACUCCUGAUACCACAGUUUGUAUUAGUCAGGGUUGUCUAGAGGAACAGAACCAGUGUGUGUGUGUGUGUGUGUGUGUGUGUGUGUGUGUGUGUGUGUGUGUGUGUGUGUGUGUGUGUGUAUAGUUUCUCAAUCAUUGGGUGGAUCCGUGGUCAGAGUAAUCCACAGUGACUCUCAUUAGGGAGGCUGGCAAUUUGAUUGAUGCUCAGUUCCCAAGUCUGGGUGCCUCAACAGUCCCCUCCUCCUGCCA